GGCAUUGUGGCAGAGUGGUCUAAUGCGUAUGGUGGGUCAAAUACACCUGUCUCUGCUAGAGACGAUGGUUGCUAACCCACAUUUAUAGACUCGAAUACAUUGUUUAAUCAUAUCUCUUCGGAGGCGCCCGUUCGAAUCGGGCCAAUGUCG